AUUGAACGCUGGCGGCAGGCCUAACACAUGCAAGUCGAGCGAGCGGCGGACGGGUGAGUAAUGUAUGGGGAUCUGCCCGAUAGAGGGGGAUAACUACUGGCAACUGUGGCUACUACCGCCUACUAUCGGCUGCACCCAAAUGGGAUUAGCUAGUAGGUGGGGUAAAGGCUCACCUAGGCGAGGAUCCCUAGCUGGGCUGAGAGGAUGAUCAGCCACACUGGGACUGAGACACGGCCCAGACUCCUACGGGAGGCAGCAGUGGGGAAUAUUGCACAAUGGGCGAAAGCCUGAUGCAGCCAUGCCGCGUGUGUGAAGAAGGCCUUAGGGUUGUAAAGUACUUUCAGCGGGGAGGCGUUACCCGCAGAAGAAGCACCGGCUAACUCCGUGCCAGCAGCCGCGGUAAUAC
rnacentral:rRNA from 1 species